rnacentral:rRNA from 1 species
AGGACGAACGCUGGCGGCGUGCUUAACACAUGCAAGUCGAACGGAAAGGCCCUUCGGGGUACUCGAGUGGCGAACGGGUGAGUAACACGUGAGCAAUCUGCCCCUAGCUCUGGGAUAGCUCCGGGAAACCGGGAUUAAUACCAGAUAUUACUACGGCCGACAUCAGCUGUGGUGGAAAGAAUUUCGGCUAGGGAUGAGCUCGCGGCCUAUCAGCUUGUUGGUGGGGUAAAGGCCCACCAAGGCGACGACGGGUAGCCGGCCCUGAGAGGGCGACCGGGCCACACUGGGACUGAGACACGGCCCAGACUCCUACGGGAGGCAGCAGUGGGGAAUAUUGCGCAAUGGGCGAAAGCCUGACGCAGCGACGCCGCGUGCGGGAUGAAGGCCUUCGGGUUGUAAACCGCUUUCAGCAGGGACGAAGCGAAAGUGACGGUACCUGCAGAAGAAGCGCCGGCUAACUACGCGCCAGCAGCCGC